rnacentral:rRNA from 1 species
CCUACGGGUGGCAGCAGUGAGGAAUAUUGGUCAAUGGGCGAGAGCCUGAACCAGCCACGUCGCGUGAGGGAGUACUGCCCUAUGGGUUGUAAACCUCUUUUGUCGGGGAGCAAAAGCCGGACGUGUCCGGCUGUGAGAGUACCCGAAGAAAAAGCAUCGGCUAACUCCGUGCCAGCAGCCGCGGUAAUACGGAGGAUGCGAGCGUUAUCCGGUUUUAUUGGGUUUAAAGGGUGCGCAGGCGGAUUUUUAAGUCUGCGGUAAAAUCGUGGGGCUCAACCCCAUCCAGCCGUUGAAACUGGGGAUCUAGAGUGUGCGAGAGGUAUGCGGAAUGCGUGGGGUAGCGGUGAAAUGCAUAGAUAUCACGCAGAACCCCGAUUGCGAAGGCAGCAUACCGGUGCACAACUGACGCUCAGGCACGAAAGCGUGGGUAUCGAACAGGAUUAGAUACCCUUGUAGUC